CAUUAUCAAUAUAGCGGAGGAAAAGAAACCCAACUGGGAUGGCCCUAGUAACGGCGAGGAAAGCGGCAAACAGCUCCAAUUUGAAAUCUGCCUCCCUCUGAGGGUCCGAGUUGUAAUUUGCAGGAGGGUGCUUUGGCGUUGGUGGCGGUCUAAGUUCCUUGGAACAGGACAUCACAGAGGGUGAGAAUCCCGUUUGUGGUCGCCUACCUUUGCCGUGUAAAGCCCCUUUCGACGAGUCGAGUUGUUGGGGAAUGCAGCUCUAAAUGGGAGGUAAAUUUCUUCUAAAGCUAAAUACUGGCCAGAGACCGAUAGCGCACAAGUAGAGUGAUCGAAAGAUGAAAAGCACUUUGGAAAGAGAGUCAAACAGCACGUGAAAUUGUUGAAAGGGAAGCGCUUGCAGUUAGACUUGCCCGCAGUUGCUCACCUAGGCUUUUGCCUGGGGCACUCUUCUGCGGGCAGGCCAGCAUCAGUUUGGACGGUUGGAUAAAGGCCUCUGGCACGUUCCUUCCUUCGGGUUGGCCAUAUAGGGGAGUCCGCAUACAACCAGUCUGGACUGAGGUCCGCGCAUCUGCUAGGAUGCUGGCGUAAUAGCUGUAAGCGGCCCGUCUUGAAACACGGACCAAGGAGUCUAACAUCUAUGCGAGUGUUUGGGUGUCAAGCCCGAACGCGCAAUGAAAGUGAACGGAGGUGGGAACCCUCGGGUGCACCAUCGACCGAUCCUGAUGUCUUCGGAUGGAUUUGAGUAAGAGCAUAGCUGUUGGGACCCGAAAGAUGGUGAACUAUGCUUGAAUAGGGUGAAGCCAGAGGAAACUCUGGUGGAGGCUCGCAGCGGUUCUGACGUGCAAAUCGAUCGUCAAAUUUGGGCAUAGGGCGAAAGACUAAUCGAAC
rnacentral:rRNA from 1 species